rnacentral:lncRNA from 1 species
UCACCAGCAGCCUCCAAGGCCAGCGUGGGGCGAGGACACACACGACCCCCAGGGCCCGCUGGUGGAGAGUGGCAGCCAUGUCAGUCAAGGUAACGAGCGGCCGCGGCGACCGCCCAGGGUCAGACGGACGCUCAUUCAGUGGGCCCUGGGCAGUGUGGGGUGGGGUUUGCCAGUUCUCUGGGUCUCACCCUAAGACUCAACACCUGGGCAGAAAAACAGACUUUUUUUUCCAUGGUGACAGGGCCCAAUGGGAGGAGGGGAAUCUGGCAAGUGGGGGUCUCCACAGCCCUCUUUUGGGUGGUCUUUGUUCCUUAACUGUGGUCGCUGGAAGCACAGGGGCUCCAUCCAGCUACGGGAGGUGGACAGAGGCCACACCCCAACAGUGUCAUUUCUGCAACGUGUCUCCAGCAGGUGGCUGAGGACAGCAUGAGCGAAGAGGGCUUGGAAUUGGGGCUGGAUUUUGCUGAGAGCCCCGUGGAGGAGUCCCAGGAAACCGAGAGCUGGCGAUCGGGGGAGCAGAGGUGUGGGGCUGAGGCACGGAGAUGGGUUCAACC